rnacentral:rRNA from 1 species
CAUAAUCAUUUGUCCACUAAUUAUGGACUAGCAUGAAAGGCAAAAUGAGGGUUUAACUGUCUCUUAUAGUAAGUCAAUUAAACUGAUCUACCAGUAAAAAAGCUGGAAUAAACACACAAGACCAGAAGACCCUAUGAAGCUUUAACUAAACUAUUAAACCACAUAAUACCUACUUUCGGUUGGGGCGACCUUGGAAAAAAAAGAACUUCCAAACCAGUGACAUUAGUCACCCUCAGGCCAACAAGCCACAUAUGACCCAGCACACCUGAUAAUUGAACCAAGUUACUCUAGGGAUAACAGCGCCAUCUUCUUCAAGAGCCCAUAUCAAAAAGAAGGUUUACGACCUCGAUGUUGGAUCAGGACAUCCUAA